ACAUCAAAUAAAAGUAUUUUUUCAAAAUAAGUAAAUAUUUUUUUUUUUUCUUAUAAAUAAGGAUCUCUUCCGCUGCCAUCUUUGCCAGCUCCAGAUUCGAUACCCAGAAGAAGAAGAUUAAGAAAAAGGAAGUUUUAGUGAAGAAUGGGCCGCGGUGUCAGUAGCGGCGGGGGACAGAGUUCUUUAGGCUAUUUGUUUGGAAGUGGUGAAACUCCUAAUAAGGCCAAAGUUGCUCAAAACCAGGGGCCCAUUGCAAACAAUGAACCUCCUCAGAGGCCCCCUGCUCCAUCACAGCCAGUGGAUAACAGUAAGCUGAUUCCAGCAGGCAUUAACAGCAAUGUUUCAAACAAUUAUUUCCGGGCUGAUGGGCAGAACUGUGGCAACUUUAUCACGGACCGGCCAUCCACCAAGGUCCAUGCUGCUCCUGGUGGUGGAUCUUCCCUGGACUACCUCUUUGGCGGCGGUGGCAGCGGCGGUGGCAGCGGCGGUAGCAAAUAAUGUGUUUGGGUCUGGAGACUGUUUGGGUUGUUUGCUGUUGUGAAUUGGUAAAAAUCAAUAUCAUAAUCUCAAAAACUGUGAGAUUCAUUUGUUGCGCAAUGUGAUAUAUUGUUGUGACUGGAUUCAGUUAGCCUGGGAAUGCAAAGUUCUUGAUGCAUCAGUUUAA